ensembl:lncRNA
GUAAGUACCAGCUGCCUGGGCUCUCACAUGACCUCACUGAAGGAGAGGUUGUUCUGAACUUGUUUCAUUCAUGAAACUCCUCCUUCAUGAAAAGAGGACACAGUUCCUCACAAGUUUCCCCUCAUAAUAUCAGCUACACUUUAGAAAGAUGUUUCCAUAAAUGAUUUCUUCUGCUCUUAGCACUGAAAUGUUGCAGCUCUUGUGUUGCUGUAGCUGGUGAGAGAACUCAUGCUUAUGCACCAUGCUGCUUCUAUGAGAAAUCUCCCAGUUUAAAUCAUGUCAUCUUCCAUUACCAAUUUGUUAUGUCAAGGCUAUCAAAAACAGGCUAUGUUAAUGUUUUUGCACUGGCAACAAAGGGCUGCAAAAACAUUAACAAUUUCUUGCUGAGGUGUGGAUGAGAAAGCCUGCUUUCAGUAACUACAGCCUUAAUCCUUUAGCAUUUGACCUGCAAUACUUGAUUGCAAUACUAGGCCCUAUGAUUGCUUAUGUCAGCUAUUAUUCCAAGGUGUAAUUAUAUGUAUUGUUACAGAUUCAUAUCUUUAGGUUAUACUUAAAUCCUUACUCUUUAGCAAAAUGCCUUCUUAUGUGUAAUUCAGUCUUUAGCAUUCAGGCUUUGUUCAGUCUGUAGGCUGAAUGGAAUCUGAUAGGAAGAUCUCAAGGUUUAAUGCAAUAUUAUUUUCUUUUUUAAAGCUGAAGUCGUUUGAAAACAAAUACAGAUUUGAAUGAUAUGUGAUGUGGCCAAACAUCUAUUCUCAUCAGUAUGUUUUUGAGGGAACACGUACACAGAUUGAAAGAAUGGAGAAGAUAACAAGUUACACUUUCCUCCCUACUCUUGAGUCACCGUGUCUUGGGGAACCAUAUCAUCAAAGGAAAAACAAUCGUACUGCAGGAAUUAAAGAAAGAGAGCCUGCUUUUUAAAGCCCAAGUGUUUGCAUGUUUUAAACAAGAAACCACAUUAUUUGGAUGCUGUUUAUCAGAAAGAUUUGAGUCUGCUGAAAAUAAAAACCAACAUCAAGCUCCAAUGGACUGAGUUGCUGAUAAAAAUUGAAAAAGACCUAGAAACCUUUCAGAGACAGUAAUAAAUGAAGUGACACUUAUCUCCCAUCAUCUGAAUGACUACACUGUAAGUCUAACAUAUUUUCUCUACCCCAGUCCUGACUAAAAGGUUUUUAAAGAAAAAAUCUGUGAUUCUCCUUUUUUUCACUUCUUUCUCUGCAAAUCACAUGAAUAGAAUAUUCAAGAUCCCUUUUUUAUAUAUGGCUCUGCUUUCUGCGCACAUGUUAAAUUCCCUGAUAUCUAUACAACUUGGGAAUGCAAUAAGUCAAUGUUUUAUUCAUAAGUGUAGCAAAUGCAUAUACCAUUAUAUUAUCUCAAAUGGGUUAGUUCCUUUCAUUUCACCUCUUUUCCUCUGUAAUUCAGAAGUUUUGUUUCUUUCUACUGUCCAAUUUGGGCAGCUGCCUCUAAUCACAUUCUUUUUUUUGAUGUAAUUACCCUAUGGAUACAUAGGAGUCUACAGUACGCUUAUCGGGAGCAGUUGUUUAGAAGCAGAAUAAUGUCAGUAAAUGAGUGAUAAUAGAAACACAAAGAAGGGGAUUGAUCAGUAUGGCUUCAGCUUUGUAUAGCAUAGGGAGGUUUGCAAGUUAUCCUAUAUUGGUUCUUCCAUCUUUGUCUUUCAGCAUGCUAUUUUUUGAGUCCAGGAAUUUCUGUUAAUGGCUUUCUCCCGUACCUCAGCUCUUAUUUGCAGUUUUAUGUUCUACCUCUAAUACAUUCACAGCUCCUGUCAUCUGCCUGAAACAAUCCACAAGCUAUUUUAACCUUACCCUCCAGCAGAACACAAUUAUCAUCUCCGUUUUUAUCAUCUCCACUUUAGAGGUGGAAAGUACAAGAAUGUUCCUAUAAACUUCGAUGGGUGAGGUGGGGAGGGGAAGUGAGAAAUUGGCUUGUCGGACAAAUAUAUCUUGAUUGGUCCCAUUUUCUUUGUAACAUAAACAUGGCCAUCAAGAAGGCAGCACAAAGAAUUUCUUGAGAUUUAAAAGAAAUUGUUUUUAGUGAUCUGUUCUCAGUAAUGAGGUGAUCAGUAAAAGAAGUAGCAGAAUGAAAACUGAAAAUACAAAAAGGGAAAAUCUGCUACUACAAAGCCUUUCUGGUUUAAUAAAAGAAAGGUGUGAGAAAUGGGUAAACAACAUGACAAAAUGAGAUGGGGGUAAUUCCAAUUUACACAGAAAACAAGAAUAGCAAGGUAGAAUACAAUAGUUGGAAUAUGUAGAAGUAAACACUCUGGUAAUCAUUAGAAGAGAAUGCUCAGCUUUGGUCAGAAAUGAACUAUGUGAUAAUUUCUAUGGCAAUAUAUUUGAUAUUUUCUGUGUUGCUGGUCUCCAGAUAAACGCCUGCCACUUAGAAAGAUACACAGUAGGGUUCACUUUAGAGUAUUCUAGGAGUCACUGUCAGCUGACCAAAGUUCCCCUGCCAAAGCACAUCCUCACUUAGCCAACACAACUCUAAAUGAGCAUCUGUAGAUCGGCUUGCUGCAUACUUAAGUUGUCUUGUUUUCUGUCACUGUAAUAUUCAGGCUUGGACUGUAUGGUGAAAUGUAUCAGCCUGGUGUCCCUAAUCAGUGUAAUUUAAAAUAAAAAUAAAUUAA